GCCCGCUGAUGAGAUCAUGGCAAGUUUUAUGAUCCAGUCAGACUAAGAGAUUAUGGUGUCAAGCCUGCUGUUAGGUGGGUAGUCUUGGCAGUGUGGUGGAGUUUUAUUGCACUGCUGUAAGGGCCCUCCCACAGUUAACCUGUCACUUCCUACAAUGUCUUCCACCCAAGAGCAAUGCUAUAGGAUAAGUAGGAAACUUGCCAAACAAUGUGCAAGUAUUUGUGUGUGUUUGUUGUUGUAUGAAUGUAUAUGUCAGAUUGCAAGAACUUUAGUCUCUGUAUAGUUCGUCUGGCAUGCAUGAACUGCAGUCUUUGGUAAUCUGAAGGCA
rnacentral:snoRNA from 1 species